ensembl:lncRNA
AGGAGAGGUGCUCCAGCCCUCUGAGCAUCUUUAUGGUCCUCCUCUGGACUCACUCAAGCAGGUCCAUGUCCCUCUUUUGUUGGGGGCCCAAAGACUUACAUGAGUUCUCAUCUAUUUACUAGUAACAAACAAACAAACAAAGCCAACCACUUCAUAUGUCUGGGCCAAGGCCAGUGACAAUGCUGGUUUGGUAAUCCCCUAACUUAGGGGUCCCUGCCACUGCCACAAUCUAGAGAACAAGUGGGCUGAUGGAGGAGCCUGCCAGGGCUUACCAUCAUGCCUGCUGGCUGCAUGAACCAGCACAUGCUCUUACUGCCUGAGAGGCUGCCCUGGGGGUAGGAAGUGCUAAAACUGUCUGUAGUUAUUACUCGUCCAUCGAGAACUUUUUUUCCUCCACUCUAAUACUCAGACCUGAGCAACCAGCUUUUGAGGAGAAGCUGGAGAAAGCGUAUUCUCCAUGAUUUAAUUUAAUUACACAUACGUUGAUUAAGGUUAUCUUCAUUUCCAGGGGAAAUGAAACAUUCAGCUGGCAUCAUGUCAGAAGCCUGGCUGAAAGCAAGCACGUCUCAGCACUGGCUGCUUUCUGCUGCUUUCCGCAGAGUCUUGGGCUUUCUUCAAAGUACAGGCACUGGCUGACCCAGAGCAUGAUUUCUUUCUCUGCCUUAUUUAAAGGCAUUGAACUGAACCAGAGCAAAGAACAACUAUCCAGGCUCUGAACAAGAAGUGCUUUGUGUUCUAGUUAGCACAAAAAUUCCAAAAAAUCCCACCGAAUGCCAUCACCCCAUCUGAUAGUGACUGUAACGAGGCCUCUGGGAGGGCAGUAACAGGAUGAUAUAGAUAAAGUUAAAACAGAGGGGUAAAAAAAGAAGUUGUGAGAAGUAAGAGACAUCACCACCACCGCUGUUACUGCUUCACAGAAGCGUAAUCUUUUGUGAUCUCUUUGGAACAGGAGGUAAAUAAUAAAACACAAGGGAGGGAAAAAAUUAAGUGUAGUGUGUGAGUGCAUGUUAAAACAGAUGUCAGAUUAAAAAUAACUGAAAAGGAAAUUCUACUGUAGGGGAAAACCUGCUUUUUCCUUCAACAUUUUAUAUUCCACCUUCAUUAGGCAGAAAGUGAAAAAGCUGUAAAGGAAAAGGAGAACUUUUGUUGUUUCCUUCUGAACGUUAAGAAAAGCCUAAUGCAAGUGCAGGGGGGAUGCUCUGCAGUACAUGGUGCUGGAGCAAUCCUCAGGGAGAAGCCCAGAAGCAGCAAGGAUGUUAAACAGAUGCACUGUGUGUGCUGAGCCUUGGGACUUGGAGCUUUAAACCUGCGGUGCUGCACAUCCAGUUGUUUUCAUCCUCUCCAUCUUCCCUCCCUUAGUCCCUUCAGGGUUGAUGAGUCCUCUAAUGUUGUAAAAAAAUAAACCCUGCAAUCUGGUAGGAUCACAUCAUCCAGUAAUGCCUCUCUAACUAUUGAUCUAGGCACCAGGGGCUUCAUUCUAGUUUCUUUAGCACUUUUAAAUGAGCUGUUUUGGUGUUUAAUGACAGCAAAGUGAGGAACAUUUACACAAACACGUUUUUCCCUAUACAGCAGCUGGACCAAACUCAUCUUUGGAGAUGGCAAGUACUCACAAAAAUACCGGUGCCACUCUGUAGAAAAGUGUAAUGCCAGGUCUCUUCUGCUAAAUGUGCUUCAGUAUGGCUCCUAAAAAUUCAUGGUCUGAAAAGUGACCUGCCCUGCACCUGGUUAAACCUCAAGGAGCAGGUCUGUAACUAAUGCCUCAACUUACAGGAAGAGUCAGAAAUGACAGAUAUCUUUGGCUACCUUACUGGUGUGAAUGUUCAGUGUACUCAAAGAGCUCGAUAAGAUCCAGGACAGGUAGAUUCCUACAGUGUUUUAGAAAAAUACCUUUUCUUUCCCCUACCAUUAUCUUGAGCAAAUUCCCACAACUUGUAUUUCUUUAAGAUGCUCAAGCUAAGGAAGAGGCAGCUGGAACAGAAGUAAAAGGCAUCCUAAAAGGCAUCCCCAGCA